AACCCAUCAAGUCUUGUCUUCCAUCUCUUACAUCACAUCAUACCUCAGGUUCUUCAUAAUAACACGCAGGUUUCAUGACACCAGACUGAAGCUGUGUGGGGAUGGGAGAUGGGAGCUGGCCAGUCUGAAAAAAGAGUAAAACCACAGAGAGGCAAAGCUGUUCUCUGGGCAAGAUUCCAGUAGAGCAGCACUGUGGAGCUCUUUGGCAGACGGACACCUGUUGUGAAGGAAAAUGCAGCAAUAAACCUUGAAGGGGUUUCUGUUUUCAUAUAAGUGCUAGGAAAAAGCCCAGUAUUAUCUUCUGAUCUGAAAAUGCAUAUUGAUGCUUACACUGCAUGUAAUAUAUACCAUGUUACUAUGUACUGUAAUAUAACAUACCUGGUUGCUGCUUAAUAAUGUGAUUUUGUCUUCAUUAAAGGCCUUUUUUACCAGUG